rnacentral:lncRNA from 1 species
UUUCUUUUUGUGUUUCCACUUUUCCAGAGCACUGUGUAAUUUGGUCCACACUCUGUUAGUGUGAGAACCUUAGGGGUAUCUCCUAUUAUAAAUUUCCAAGCAUGAGAGUCGAUAGAGUUUUUGAUCUGAAUGUUUGUAAGAACCCUGAAGAUUUGGAGAGGACCGGAGUAGAGCGUGAACGACUGGAGACCCUAGGGUUUGGCGACCAAGAGUCGCAGAGUUUGGCAAGAGACGAUUGGGAGUAAGAGGAGAAGUUAGGGUUUAGAGUUUGAAAUUAUAAAACUGAAAAAGUAUCUAAGACUAUUACAUUUUUGGUAUUUAUACUAACCCUAAUUGCUAAUGGGCCAACAUCCGAGUUGGGCCUGUUAUACUUGAUUAAUUCAAAUAACUAACACCUUAAUAAUACUUUAGUAGUCUUAAUACCCCCCCUCAAGCUGGAGAGUGUAUAUCAUAGAGUCCCAGCUUGGGUAGUAAAUUGCGCAAUGAUUCAAGGCUUGCUGGCUUUGUUAGGAUGUCUGCUACUUGUGAUGCUGAGGAGACAUGUUGUAAUUUGAAUAAUCCAGCUUGAAGAUGAUCACGAAUUAAGUGGCAGUCAAUCUCUAUGUGUUUGGUUCUUUCAUGAAAUACUGGAUUUGUUGCAAUGUGUAUUGCUGCCAUAUUAUCACAGUGUAGCAUUGUUUGCUUUGAUGGUUUUACCUGCAGAUCAUUCAAAAAAUAAUGCAACCACAUAAUUUCACAUACAGUUGAUGCCAUAGCCCUGUAUUCACUUUCAGCAGAUGAUCUACUGAUAGUUGUUUGUUUUUUUGAUUUCCAGGCUAUAGCUGAACCACCUAGUGAGAUUGUAUAUCCUGUUAUAGACCUUCUAGUGUUGGGGCAGUCUGCCCAAUCUGCAUCACAGUAGGCUUCUAAUUGUAGAGGUGCAUCUCUUUUGUAUAGAAUGCCUUUUCCUGGUGUGCCUUUGAUAUAUUUCAAUAUCUUUAUAGCUGAGUUAAAGUGUGAAAGUUUUGGUUCUGCCAAGAAUUGGCUGUGAUGGCUAACAGCAAAUGAUAUAUCAGGCCUUGUGAUUGUUAAAUAUAACAAUUUCCCAAUCAAUUUUCUAUAGGAUGAUGGGUCUUUUAGUAAAGUAUCAUUCUCAGAGUCUCUAUAAUUAUGAGAUAUUGGGAUUUUGGAUGGUGAUGAACCCAAUUGUCCAAAAUCAUGUAGAACAUCCAGGGCAUAUUUUCUUUGUGAUAAGAAUAUACCCAUCUUAGAUUGAGAUACCUCAAUCCCUAAAAAAUAUUUGAGCUUGCCCAAGUCUUUUAUAUGAAAUUGGAGGUGCAAGUACUCUUUUAACUUUUGUAUUUCAAGUUCAUUAUCUCCUGAAAUAAUCAAAUCAUCCACAUAUAUGAGUAGACAUGUAUAUGAAUUAGUAUUUGAUUUGAAAAACAGUGUAUAGUCAGAAUGGGAUUGAUUAUAUCCAAAUUUAGUCAAGGCAGAUGUGAGUUUUUCAUACCAGUUCCUAUUUGCUUGUUUCAAGCCAUAUAGGGAUUUUUUUAGUUUGCAAACCCUGGUGUCAUCUGCUGAUAACAUCCCUGGAGGGGGUGACAUGUAAAUUUCUUCAGAUAAUUCACCAUGUAAGAAAGCAUUGCUCACAUCCAUUUGAUAUGUUGUCCAGUUUUUGAUUGAUGCCACAGCUAGAAGGGUCCUGACUGAGAUGAUUUUUGCCAUAGGAGAGAAUGUCUCUUUGUAAUCAAACCCCUCUAUUUGAGUAUGUCCCUUUGCUACAAGCCUGGCCUUUAGUCUCUCAAUCUGACCAUUUGAUUUAUGCUUUACCUUGUAUACCCAUCUGGAACCAACAAUCUUCCUUUCUUUUGGUCUUGGUACUAUCUCCCAAGUAUUAUUUAGCUCUAAAGCUGCAAGUUCAUCAUUCAUGGCUUUUACCCAUUCAGGGCUUUGACUGGCUUGUUUAAAGGAUGAUGGCUCAGUUGUGAUAGAUAUUUUGUCUAAGUAAUCAAUAUGUGAUGUUGAUAGCCUCUUAUAUGUUAGGUAGUCAUGCAUAGGAUAUGAAGUGCCUUUAGAUUUACCAUUGCUAGUGGCAAAUGAACAGAAAUAGUCAUUUAGUUUUGUUGGGUGUCUUCUUUGUCUGCUUGGGUAUCUCGAGCUUGGUUGUACAUCAGUUGGGGUUUGAUUUGGUGUUUGUUCAGUUUCUGGAUUUAGAGAUAUUAUUGGCAAGUCACAAUUUUCGUUUGUUUGUGUUACCCUUGAGGGUUCAGAAUCUGAUAUGUUUGAGUUUGUGUUUGAGUCAUCAGAGAAUAAUUCAUUUAGAUCUGUCUCAGAGAGAUCAGUAUUAGCUGUUGUAUUUUUGAUUUGAUUUUUCACUAUCACUUGAUCAUUGGAUUUGUUCUGAUCCUUAUUUAGAGGAAAAACAUCCUCAUAGAAGAUCACAUCUCUACUUGUGAAGAUGUGAUUGGUAUCUAAUUCAUACACUAUUGAACCCUUUUGGGUUGGGGAUGGUCCUAGAUAUAAGCAUUUCUUUGCUCUAGGGGAGAACUUGUCUUCCUUAACAAGGCAAGUUACAUAACAUAGGCAUCCAAAGGUCCUUAGACCUUCAUAGUCAGGCUUUCUAGAGUGCAUUAGUUCAUAUGGGGAUAGAUUCUGUGUUACCUUGGAUGGUAACAUGUUAAUAAUCUUGGUUGCCUGAAGUAUUGAAUAUCCCCACAGCUCAAUUGGCAGUGUGGAUUGUAACUUCAGUGACCUAGCUACAUUUAAGAGGUGUUGAUGUUUCCUCUCAACCACACCAUUUUGUUGUGGUGUAUGGGCACAACUAGAGUAGUGGAUGAUCCCAUUAGUUUUCAGGAAUUCAUCCAUGGCUGAAGAGAAAAACUCUCCACCAUUAUCAGUUCUUAUGGCCUUAAUAGACAUAUUAAACUGGUUUUUGAUAAGAGCAUGUAGAUUUUUAAAUAUAGUAAAACAUUCAGACUUCAUAGUAAUUAGAUAAGUCCAAGUGUACCUAGUAUAGUCAUCAACCACAGUUAAAAAAUAUUUCUUCCCAUGGACUGUUGGAGUGUGAAAGUUCCCCCACAUAUCCAUGUGAAGCAAAUCAAAUGCAUGUUUAGUUCUAGAUGCAUGUAAUGGAAAUGACUUCCUAGAUUGUUUAGAUAAGUGACUUUCACAGUAUUUAUCAAAAGUAGUGUCUUUAAAAACUAAAGAGGAAUUGUUCAAAAUGUAUUUAAGUCUGUCACUUGAUGUGUGACCUAAUCUUUUGUGCCAUGUUGAAGUUGUUAUGGCACCUGCAAAACAUUUUCUACCACUGGUUUGUGGCAGAUAGUAUAGUCCUUUCUUCAUGUCACUCUGACCAACUUCCUUCAUCUGAACCUUGUCAUAUAUGAAUGCACAUGAUUUAGAGAAUUGUACUGAAUAUGUAUCAUGUUGAGUUAACUUGCUAAUGGAUAGCAAGUUUACUUGAAAAGAUGGGAUGUAAUACACAUCCUCUAAUGUGAUGUCAGGUGAUAUGGAAAUAUCACCCUUUUGGGACACUAACUGGCUGUCCCCAUUUGGUAGUGAAAUCCUGAAUGGAUCACACUCUGAGAGUUUUAGGAAUAGGGACUCAUUCCCACUCAGGUGUUCUGAUGCACCUGAGUCAAUGAUCCAGUAUGUGUUUGAAUAAUUAAAAGAAACAUUAUUAGCAUUACCUGAGUUGUGCUUGGGCAGUGGCUUUGGAUUAUACUUCUCAGAAUAGAGAGGGAAGCCAUAUGGACCAAUAGGGUUAUCAGGAGAUUCUGGCUUCUUUUCAUCACUGUCCCAGGCUGACCAGGUUUGUUCAGAAUUUACACAGUUGGCAGAGGCUUGAGGUUUGUUGAUUACAGUGGCUGUUGGAGUGGUAGGUUUGGCCCUGUUGACAGAUGUUGUGUUUCUAGAGGGGUACCCAUGUUGAUUAAAGCAUUUCUCAUCACUAUGUCCAAAUGCUGCACAGUGGAAGCAGUAAUACCUUGUGUUUACUUGCUUGCCACUCCUAUAGUAGAUGGGUUCAGUUGGGGUAGGAGGCCUCUUCCUUUGUGUUGAUGAGGAGGGAGUGUUUGUGGGUUUGCUGGUUUGGUAGGGUGCCUUUCCCUUGGAUGAAUAGAAGGCAGAGCCUUGAGUGGUAUUGGCAUUGGUAUUGCUGAUCAUUUGUUGUUGGGCUUCUUCAUGGAUGACCAUAGAGAAUACCUUCCCAAAGAUAGGGAGCUUAUCCAUAGACAGGAUGGUUGACCUUAUCUGUCUAAAAUUAUCAUUUAAUCCCAUCAAGAACUUCCUCACUUUCAGUCUCUCCUCCCUUUCAUUGAUUCUACCAUUCACAUUGCAGGUGCAUGUAAUGCAACUGCACCUAGGUACCUCACCAUAGGCAUCAACUUCUCUCCACAUAGUCUUAAGUGUAGCACUGAAUUUGGAUACAGAGUUGGAACCCUGUUGAAGUAAAGCAAUGUCCUGUGUCAGUUGAAACAGAUGAGUUUCAUUUGAUUGUCUGUAUUGGUCCCUUAGAUCAGCCCAAAUUAUCGAAGCAUCAUCUGUAUACAUGAUUUGGGAGGCUAUCUCCUGUGAGACAGAACUCCAUAUCCAUUGCCUUAUAAUUCCAUGGCAAGUUACCCAAGCUUCAUGCUCUUCCAUAUCCAUCAGAGAUGGUUCCUUUAUAGCUCCAUUAACAAAUCCUAGUUUCCUCCUCGUAAUUAACAUUGUGGUCAUUUCCCUAUUCCAGGGGUAGUAGUUCUGACUGCCUUGCAGAAUGUUUAUUAUGGUUGGAGGGCCAUAAUCCGUGGAUUUGAAGAAAUAGAUGGAAGUGGGGUCAAACAGAGGGCCACCAAGUGGCUUCUUUUGUGUAGUUUGAACUACCUGGCCAGAUGGGACAUCCUGUGAAACUUUAUCAGAUUCUGACAUAUGGAAGACUCUGUAACAUUUUCCAUGAUCACAAAAUAUUAUUAAUUUAACAUAGAACAAUCUUGAAUGAAUCGAAGAUGUCAAAUUUAGAUUUAAAAUUGAUGAAUCAACUUUGUUGGUGGUUAUCAACCCACUCUUGAUUUUAUCAGAAUGUUUAGAUGACAGCGGAAGCAACAUAGUAUCAGUAUCUAUUUGGAUUAUGAAGAAAUAUAUAACAGAGUAUAUUCUGUUUGGUAUGAAGUAUAUCAUUGUAUGUAUUUUAUUAGAUGUAUUAUAUACCCAAACAUGAGAGAUAUGUAAAUCAGAUGCACAUGAUGUGAUGAUCAUCUUUACAUGGAAUAGUCUACAAUGCUUAUCAUAUGUACAUGGCAUGCAACAGAGUAGCAACAAAAUAUAUUGAUUGUUCAUGACAUGGCAUGUGACCAACAGAACAUGAUGUUUAUCAUAUAUCGAUUUACAUUUUAGUAGAGAUAGUGUAGCAUGUAACAGAAUAGCAAAGCAUGGAGAAGAUAAUAAUAACUUAUAACAUGAAGAUAGCACAGUAUAUGGUAUAUAUGUAUCAGUGAUUCCUAUAUCGUAAACUGACUUGUAACAUGAUACAGGAAGACGCAUAGCAUAUAGCAACAGACAUGCAGUGUGUAUGAUGGAUAAUAUUUUGCAUAUAUCGUUGUUUUUAAGAUGAUGAUAGGAUAUCCAGUACAUUAACAACAAAUGGAGGGUUAUAUAACGACAUGCAGUGACAAGUCGCUUGGAUCUAAGAAGAUCAGCAUGCAUGUUACUCAUAGCAUCUAGGUAUGUAUAUUACUAGAAGACUAGUUAGGUUUUAGGUAUACCAGAUGUAUCUCGAGGCACCGGUGAGUGGAAUCUGACGGAAUCAGAGUGAUCGGAACCUGACGGUUUUGAAUCGCGUCACCGGAGCUUUGUUUGCGAGGUCAGCAGCGCAGCACUCCACAGGGCUCUGAUACCAUGAAGAUUUGGAGAGGACCGGAGUAGAGCGUGAACGACUGGAGACCCUAGGGUUUGGCGACCAAGAGUCGCAGAGUUUGGCAAGAGACGAUUGGGAGUAAGAGGAGAAGUUAGGGUUUAGAGUUUGAAAUUAUAAAACUGAAAAAGUAUCUAAGACUAUUACAUUUUUGGUAUUUAUACUAACCCUAAUUGCUAAUGGGCCAACAUCCGAGUUGGGCCUGUUAUACUUGAUUAAUUCAAAUAACUAACACCUUAAUAAUACUUUAGUAGUCUUAAUA